rnacentral:rRNA from 1 species
UUUGAACGCACACAGCGCCCCUUGGCAUGCCUUGGGGCACACCUGUUCGAGCGUCGUUUCUCCCAUCGGGCCCCGUUCGCGGGGACCGGUCUUGGGGCGUGUCCCGCGCAACGCGGCGGCAGCCCUUGAAUCCAUCGGCGGCGGCACGGCCCCCGGAAUGCU